rnacentral:rRNA from 1 species
CCGAACCCACACCUGUUGAAAAAGGUCGGGAUGAGCUGUGGCUAGGGGUGAAAGGCCAAUCAAACUCGGAGAUAGCUGGUUCUCUGCGAAAUCUAUUUAGGUAGAGCGUCAUCCGAAUACCCCGGGGGGUAGAGCACUGGAUGGGUAAUGGGGCCCCACAGGCUUACUGAUCCUAACCAAACUCCGAAUACCCGGGAGUACUAGAUGGCAGACACACUGCGGAUGCUAACGUCCGUAGUGGAGAGGGAAACAACCCUGACCUACGACUAAGGCCCCCAAUUCAUGGCUAAGUGGGAAAGCAAGUGGGACGACCAAAACAACCAGGAGGUUGGCUUAGAAGCAGCCAUCCUUUAAAGAAAGCGUAACAGCUCACUGGUCAAGCGCUCCUGCGCGGAAAAUGUAACGGGGCUUAAGUGAUACACCGAAGCUGUGGAUUCAAUCUUAUGAUUGAGUGGUAGCGGAGCGUUCCGUAGGCCGAUGAAGGUGGACCCGCGAGGGCCGCUGGAGGUAUCGGAAGUGAGAAUGCUGACAUGAGUAGCGACAAAGAGGGUGAGAGACCCUCUCGCCGAAAGUCCAAGGGUUCCUGCUUAAA